rnacentral:lncRNA from 1 species
UUAACGAGGCUGGAGAAUCCCACAUGUCCCCAACCGUAUCUGUCAAUGCUUCUGCAUCUAGGACUCUCUUUUCUUCUUCCAAAGGAAUUCUGCUACCUGGAGAGAUACCUAAUACGCCAAUCGAUAAGACACAAAGCAAGCCAAUCAUUCUUCUCUUCUCAAAUGACGGGAACAAUUGGCGCAACUCAGAUAGCAUUGGACCAUAUGAAGGGGACACGCUAAUCUAUUCCCAAAACGCCUUAUGAUCAACCUCCACCUUAUCAUUGAUGUCAAAAGUCUCACAAUUUAAACAUGUUAUUUCACCAAACUCAUAUAGUUAAAACCUAAUAGGCUGACCUUCUAGUAGAGACCAUAACUCCUGAAUAUUAUCCACAACCAGUUGGUUUGUCAGCAAAUGGUUAAAAACUUGGGCUGACCAUGUAUAAUCCAUCUCUUACAACCUUACAAUAACUCCAACAGAAGAUGUCUUAAUGGAUUCUCACGCAUCUAAGCCAAGUGACAGUUAUGAUUCAUUGAACAAUGUAAAUAAUGUACAAUGAAGUAAGGUACACAUGAAAAUUAUAUUUCCAGAAACUUAUCUACAGUGGAGUCGAUAGUUGCAAACACAUAAUUACCAAAAUAAGAAACCCAAAAUCAAAUAACAUAUGUUGUUCGCACGGGUUCUAAAUGGCACAAAAAACUGAGAAAAAGUGAAUAAAGCAACGACCUUCAACGGAACUGAGAAUUUGAAAAAGGGGAUUUAAGGUGUGAAUCGAAGGCUUUAGUGGUAGAGUAGAGUGCGGACAUGACCGA